AUGGCCUCCUCCGCCUCCGUUGCGGCCCUCACCGCACUCCCCUUUCCCACUUGCCCCUCCUCCGACGACUCUGACGACGCCAAGCCCCUCCCGCCUCCACCCGCGUCGGGAGAAACCCGCCCUCCUCCGCAGCAUCAGCAGAGGCCGCGGUGGUGGCAGCUGGAGCGCGACUGCAACGUGGCCAUGAAGGCCCUGGCGCGUGCGGGCGAAGUCGACCAGGUGCUCGCCCUCUUCAGAGAGCUCAGGGCUUCCAGAACCGGGCCGGGAGGUGCCUCGCCGCCCAAUGUGCUUUGCUACAACACUCUCGUCAAUGCGCUCGCAGAAGCUGGCCGGGUGGAGGAGGCCCACAACGCGUUCGAUGAAAUGCUUGCAGCAGGGGUGGCGCCCAAUGCAUCGUCCCUCAACAUCCUUGUCAAGCUGCAUUCGUGGAGAUCUGCGCGGUUUGACCUCGCGUACAAGGUGAUCAUCCAGUUGCAAGAGCUCGGGGUGGAAGCUGAGGUGGGCACCUACUCCACGCUUGUCACGGGGCUGUGCCGUGUGGGGAGAGUGGGCGAGGCAUGGGGCGUGCUCGAGUGGAUGCUGGAAGUGGGGUGCCGUCCCAUGGUGCAAACUUACACGCCCAUUGUACAGGGGUAUUGCCGUGAAGGUCGUGUCGACGAGGCCAAGGAGCUGAUGUCCACGAUGGAAAAUGCUGGUUGUCCUCCCAAUGUAGUCACCUACAAUAUUCUGAUCAGGGCUUUGUGUGAUGCUGCCAGAUUUGACGAAGUCAGGCAAGUUUUAACGGAUAGUAGAACCAAGGAUUGGAAACCCAGUACUGUCACCUACAACACAUUUAUGAAUGGUCUCUGCAAGAAAGGUAUGGCUAAAGAAGUACUUGAGCAGUUGGAUGUUAUGCUAGGCGAAGGGCUGGAUCCCACAGAUUUCACUUUGAGUAUUCUUCUGAAUUGCCUUUGCCAUGACAAGAGGAUUCAUGAUGCCGUAUGCUUGCUGGAGAGGAGCACAUCAUUGAAAUGCUAUGCUGGUGUUGUUGCAUACAACACUGUGAUGAGCUGCUUAGGUGAAAUGGGACAUUGGAUGAGUGCUCUAAAGUUGUUGACAGACAUGAUCAAGAGAGGUGUCAUGCCAAACACGAGGACAUUCAACAUUGUCAUUCGUAGUCUUUGCUUUCGCCGAAAGUUCUCCAUAGCCAAGAGCCUCGCAAGUAACCAAGGUUUUGCUGCAAAUGUCGUGACAUACAAUACACUCAUUUAUUUUGUUUUUUACUACAGUCGAAAGCUCAGUGAGGUGAAGGACCUAAUAUUUGACAUGACAGCAGAGAGGAUUGCUCCAGAUGAAGUUACCUACACUAUAAUCGUUGAUGGAUUAUGCAGAGAUGGAUUUUUUGAUACAGCCACUAGUUACUUUCUAGAAUCGCUUGAGAUUGGACUGUCAAGGGAUCUUUUUGCUGUCCUUACAAACAGGCUUGCUCACAGUGGCAAAAUCUGGGAGACAAUUCACAUAUUCAAGGGAAUGGAAGAAAAAGGUUUUAUCCCCGAUAGUUCUAUAUUUGACCUCACAAUCAGAAUAUUCUGUAGGGCUGGUUAUUGUCACGACACAGAUAUGUUUAAGGUUAACUUUAUUCUGGAUACGAUGUUGGGAAAGCAGUGA
rnacentral:rRNA from 1 species